rnacentral:rRNA from 1 species
GAUGAACGCUGGCGGCGUGCUUAACACAUGCAAGUCGAACGGAAAGGCUCCUGCUUGCUGGGGUACUCGAGUGGCGAACGGGUGAGUAACACGUGGGUGAUCUGCCCUGCACUUCGGGAUAAGCCUAGGAAACUGGGUCUAAUACCGGAUAGGACGAUGGUUUGGAUGCCAUUCUGGAAAGUUUUUUCGGUGUGGGAUGAGCUCGCGGCCUAUCAGCUUGUUGGUGGGGUAAUGGCCUACCAAGGCGUCGACGGGUAGCCGGCCUGAGAGGGUGUACGGCCACAUUGGGACUGAGAUACGGCCCAGACGCCUACGGGAGGCAGCAGUGGGGAAUAUUGCACAAUGGGCGCAAGCCUGAUGCAGAGACGCCGCGUGGGGGAUGACGGCCUUCGGGUUGUAAACUCCUUUCGCUAGGGACGAAGCGCAAGUGACGGUACCUGGAGAAGAAGCACCGGCUAACUACGUG